UGCCCCAAACUCUGCUAACUUAUUUAAAGCCCCGCCUCCAGCACGCAGUUAAAGAUCAUCACCUGUUUCCGCUGUGAUUGUGGUUUGCUGUUGGCGUCUUUCUCAGGAAUUCCCCCCAAAAUCUUUAAAUCUAUUGAAUGGUUUCCGGAAUCACUGGCAUUGUUUACCUGGACCGUCACCAGGAUUCUGUCAGUGCUGAUUGUGGCUAAGCCCCAGUCUCUUCUAAAAGGUCGGGUUUUUUUCCACCUGUCGGAUCAGAUCUUCAUCUGGAUCGGAAGAUGGCUCCUUAAAGGACACUCUUCUGAUGCUUCUUUUGUAGCCGCAGUUAACUGCCUAGCCCAUAAAUGUUACACAAUAUCUUUUUCUAAUGAGACAAAAUGUCCAGUUUUGUAGGUUACCAAAAUUUCUUGGAGGCCUAUGCAUUCCCCACAAGAACCGGAGCUCAUGUCGUACUGUCCAGAAAGGACAGAACAAACAAAACUUCUUUCUGGAGAGAAAACUUUGAAAGUUGCAAGAACUAAAGUACACAACCCUUGUAAAAGUCUCAUUAGAACUGAAAUUUUCAGAGGAAUCACACAAUAAUUCUUGGACACCACAAUAAAAAAGGCUCUUGCUGGGCAAUGUGUGAAGAGAAAUCUGCUGGACCCCCUAAGAACAGAAUAAUGCCAUCUGGGAGAGGGAACAAAUUCCGGAUUUUUUUACGUAAGGUUU